rnacentral:rRNA from 1 species
GACGAACGCUGGCGGCGUGCUUAACACAUGCAAGUCGAACGAUGAAGCCGGAGCUUGCUCUGGUGAAUUAGUGGCGAACGGGUGAGUAACACGUGAGUAACCUGCCCUUGACUCUGGGAUAACUGCUAGAAAUGGUAGCUAAUACCGGAUACGACCCUCGGAGGCAUCUCCAGGGGGUGGAAAGAAUUUCGGUCAAGGAUGGACUCGCGGCCUAUCAGCUAGUUGGGGAGGUAACGGCUCACCAAGGCGACGACGGGUAGCCGGCCUGAGAGGGUGACCGGCCACACUGGGACUUAGACACGGCCCAGACUCCUACGGGAGGCAGCAGUGGGGAAUAUUGCACAAUGGGCGCAAGCCUGAUGCAGCAACGCCGCGUGAGGGAUGACGGCCUUCAGGUUGUAAACCUCUUUUAGUAGGGAAGAAGCGAAAGUGACGGUACCUGCAGAAAAAGCACCGGCUAACUACGUGCCAGCCGCCGCCGUAA